rnacentral:rRNA from 1 species
GCCUGAUCCAGCCAUGCCGCGUGCAGGAUGACGGUCCUAUGGAUUGUAAACUGCUUUUGUACGAAAAAAAACACUCCUAUGUAUAGGAGCUUGACGGUAUCGUAAGAAUAAGGAUCGGCUAACUCCGUGCCAGCAGCCGCGGUAAUACGGAGGAUCCAAGCGUUAUCCGGAAUCAUUGGGUUUAAAGGGUCCGUACGCGGUUUAGUAAGUCAGGGGUGAAAGCCCAUCGCUCAACGGUGGAACGGCCAUUGAUACUGCUGAACUUGAAUUAUUAUGAAGUAACUAGAAUAUGUAGUGUAGCGGUGAAAUGCUUAGAGAUUACAUGGAAUACCACUUGCGAACGCAGGUUACUACUAAUUGAUUGACCCUGAUGGACGAAAGCGUGGGUAGCGAACGGGAUUACAUACCCUGGUAGUCCACGCCGUAAACGAUGGAUACUACCUGUUGGGAGCAAUUUCAGUGGCUAAGCGAAAGUGAUAAGUAUCCCACCUGGGGAGUACGUUCGCAAGAAUGAAACUCAAAGGAAUUGACGGGGGCCCGCACAAGCGGUGGAGCAUGUGGUUUAAUUCGAUGAUACCCGAGGAACCUUACCAAGGCUUA